rnacentral:tRNA from 17 species
UGGGGUAUGGUGUAAUUGGCAACACGGAGGUUUCUGGUACCUUUGUUCUUGGUUCGAGUCCAGGUACCCCAGCAA